rnacentral:misc_RNA from 1 species
UAUUAGAAAUUUCAAAUAUUAAAACAAAAAAAAAAACAAAAAACAAAUUUAUCCUAAAGCGUAUUUCUUAGGUAUAAAUCAAAUGAGUAACAAACAAAUUUUUAUAUGUAUAUGGUAAAUGCGCCCCAAGUGCUUAAGCAACAACAAACACCCCAAAAACAAAGCAAAAACAAAACACAUAAAACAAACCUAAUGUUAAACAACAACAACCUCAACCAACAGCGAAUCGAGCAAUAUUAUCAAUAAUGAAUCAUUAAAUUGUUAAACGUUAAAGAUUAAAUGUAAUGUAAAACAAAACAACAAAUUAAAAAAUUUAAAAAAAAUCAACUAAACAAAACAGCAACAACGCUAGUAACCUGCCAACAAAAGACACCAACAACUCAUGCGGUGCCUGAAAAAGUACAUCAUCAUCGCCUUACAACAAUCACAACAACAACAACAACAACAAAAACAACAAGCAAGUGCCUCCGCCUCCCCAGAGGCCAGGGGACUAGGAAUAGGAAUAGGAUCAGAAACCGAAACAGAAAUCAGAAACCGACGACCAGGAACUGGUCCCCCCGAACACCCACACCCCCCAUCAUUCGUGGGCGGCAGCUAAAUCGCCCAGAUAUCUUGGAUUAAUCAUCACUUAGCUGACGCCGCCGCCGCCGCCACGCCCCAAAGCGGGUGUAUGGGGGAUGCGUUCUAUGUCAACAACAACAACAACAACAACAACAGCAGCAACACCUUUAACUUCACCAACGAUCACAGCAGGCUAUGGAUAUACAUAUGAAGAAACUAACUAAACCACGGUGAGUCAUCCAAGCGUUUGUGGAUUAUUAAAAGCAAAUUAGAUUAUAAAGAGUAAGUUGAUUCCUGGCUUUACGACUGUCUGUAUCUAUCUGUAACCGAUCUCUGGUCAGGCGAAAGUUAUGGCCCAGUUCUCGGCUCUCUUUGUGUGCCAUGGCGCUGUGCAGUUGAUAAACCACUUGAGUGGAAAUUUAUGACUAGUCGCAAGAAAAAGAAAAUUAAAAUUUUAACAACCUUAAAGCGUGUGAAAAGUCAGCCACACACACACACACUCUCAGAGAUAAAACAUUGUUGUGUGGGUGAGGAUAAAGAAGGGAAUUGUAAUGAAAAGUGCUGUGUGGAAAAAUUUUAUUAUAGAUUUCACUUUCACAACGAGCAAAAAACCUUUGCCGACAAAAGGCAGGACAGGAGCGCGUGCCAGGAAGGGAGGAGGAGGAGGAGGGGGGGGGCUGAUGGGCAGUCGGUGGGCGGUGGGGGCGAAAGGAAAGUAAAGUUUACGAGGCGUAUGCUUGAUGACGUUUAUGACAUUUCUCGACCCGCUCUAAAACCCUCAACCAUCCCCCGGCACACCGACAGGACAGCCCUCCAUCGUGGGAUGAUGCUUAUUAAAAAGGGUCAAAUCAUGAUGCUGACGAUGGAACAUUGGAAUGAAUGGUUGGUCGAGGGCAUUAAAUUGAGUUAUUGAUUCGAUUGGAAAUACUAUUACCACGGGUAUUCGAUUGCUCUUUGAACUUUGUAAAUAGUUAAUGUUGCAAAACAGAAAACAAUAUGCAUGGCAUGUGCAUGACGAGUCACAAGUAUUGGUUGUUUUGGUUUGUUUGCUGCUGGGGAACUGCUUGCAAAAAAAAAAACCUGUCCACUGCUCCAUGGGAGAGAAUUCUCGAAGCUGUAACACUUGAUAUUCCCAAGCUGACGCGCUCCAAGCUCCAACCUUUGACCUUUUGCAACAGGCUGUACACCCGAAAGCCAAACAAUUUUUCUGUUUCAGCUACCUUCCUCGUUUCUCGUUGCUCGCUCCUCGCUACUCCUACCGCCAUUCCCUUUCACCUUCUCCACUUGGCUAACUUCAUCCGCAACUCCUCUGCUCUCCUCCCUCCCCUUCGGGCUGCUCUCCUUCAUACUCGCACAUCGCACAUCGCACAUUGUCUUUGUCAUCGUUGUCAUACGCACAGAGCAGUGCAGAGCAGAGCAGAGCAGAGCAGACACUCAUACACUCGCACAAAUUUGACAGCCAUUGGGUUUCACUUUUUUCUCUCGUCUUCGUCUCCGCUGUCGCUGUCGCUGCCGCUGCCGCUGCCGUUGCUGCUGGCACGCGAUGCGUGUGCCACUUGUUUGUGGAGCCCAAGUAACCGUCGAUGGGUUGUUGUUGUUUUUGGUGUUGUUGGUGUUGUUGGUGUUGCCAGGCAUUGUCAUUAAUCAUUGCCAGUUAAACAAUAACAAGACAAAGCAACAACAACAAGAAGGUGUGUGCAAAGAGUCUUGAAAAUUGUUGGCAUUUCUUUCUGCCAGUGACCCAGAAACAUUUCUCCGCUGUCCUCCCUGCUGCCAUCGCGUCCCACUCCAUACUCCAUACUCCCUGCACUUGAGAGUGAUUAGAAUUUUUGCAAAUGGAGAGCAGAGCAGAGCAGCGAACAGGAUGGCGGGAAGGAGGCUCCCCACUUUAUUGAUUUGUCCGUGACUCAUUUGGGAGAUUUCGGUCGGUGGGCCUCGUGUGGGGGUGGUGUCCCCAUAUUAAUGAAAUGAAGCGAAAUCCGGAAUGAUUAGAGAACCUUGUGCAGUAGGUGGAAGAUACAGAUACUCGCAUCUGUAUCUGUAUCUGUAUCUGUUGGAUUGUUCGCAGAAAUAAUGUACGUGCUAAUGUUGGAUUUUCGGUGGAUUUUGAUUCCGCGAAACGUUUUCCGAAUUCUUGUGCAAAGAAUUCUUUUUUUCUUGUUUCUGUUGUCUUUUUCUUUUUUUGUAAAGACUUGGACGAGUACGUAUUGUGCUCCCACUGUUACAGUUUCAGAUCGAAUUGUUUUCAUUCCUAUAGAGAAUGAGUCUCUCUCGAAUAUGUAUGACUCUGGGUUUGAACUUUGAGUCACUUUAUUCGAUACAACAACCAUAAUCGUUAUGCUUAUUUCCUUACUGAUUAUCUUGUGAGUCACUUGAUGCAUUGGUUCUUCGCUCUUUCUGGCUUUCAGGCUUGACUUGAGUCAUAUUCUUUUGGCUCAGACAAACCCCAUAUUUUCUAUGAAUCAGAUACGACAAUAGGCAUUACGUUACAUAGCAUUCGAAUCGAGCGAAGAAAUCUUUAUCUUUACAUAUUACACUUAUUACAGUAGUACAUAAGAGAGGUAUUAAUAAAUCUUGCUAAAUGGAUCUAUUAAAUAUUUACGACAUUCCAAAAAUAAGCUCUGACGGGAACAGAAUUGAAAAUGAUGCUAUUUUGGAUGAGCCCAGCAAUCCGACAUCUAUGCCGCUUUAAUGCGUUCGAUCAUUACGAAUUCUGCCUUCAGUCCGAUUCGAAUCACUCCGAAUCGCUAAAAGCCGAGUGCCAGCACUGCGGAUUAAGAGCAUGGUUCGUUCGCAUGUCUCUGAAAUGACUCAAAGCACAAGACGGAGUUCGUGUGCCUUCGGCUAGGUAAACAUUCUCUUGCUAGUCUGAAGAGACCUGCUUCGUGCAGUCCGUUUUGGGAGACCGAUCCCUAGUUCGGAGGGGCCGAACGAAGCCAAUGCCGAGUGUCCCACCGAAUCGAUUCGGCUGCCCGAGCAAGCAAGGCUCUAAUCUGCAUCUAGGAAUCAUAGAUUCAAGACUCGAGCAUUCAAUUUAGAAAGCGUUCCAUCCACCUGUUGAAUCAUCCAGUGUUCCUAUGCUGCAAACUGCUUCGUUUAUUGUACGUUUGUUGCACUGCUUCGUCACAGCCAUAUUCAGAGCUCAAAAAGUAAGCCUUAAAUUCCAUAAAUAUGUGUAUAGUAUAUGGUGGAAAGCUCAAGCUCCUUUUGUGUUUAAGCACCCCUCAUUCAUAUGAUUCCUUCCACCAGCAUUUUUCUUUUGAUUUCAUGCACUCAUUUCGAAAUAUUUUAUCUUUAAUUUUCUAGGUAAAUUUUUCUACCUACAUCUGUGUAUCUGUUUGUUAUAGCUUUUACCUUUUUCUGCCCGCCUUUUCUUUAUUAUUAUGAAGCUUAUUUUAUUACACCCAGAGCUGUCUCUCGCUCGCACUUGCAUUCGCUUUCCAUCUCUGGCUCUGUCGGCCUGCUCUGCCCGAGUGCUGGCUCUCUUUCUGGCGGCAGCAGCGGCAGCGGCAGCAGCUGACAGACAUCGGCGUUAUGUGAAAAACCUGCCUCAAGGUUAUUGCCUUCUACCCGAAACCCAAACGAACGAAAGACGAACAAAAAAACAUGAAGAGAGUGUGCAAAAAAAAACAACAACAAACAAAUUUCUCCAUUACACGAUGAGGCUGGCUUUCUUAUUGUGUUUGUUGUUUGUGUAAUUGUUGCUGUUGAGGUUCUGCUCUUUGUUGCUGUUGUUGUUGCUUUCUGGUUGGAAUCGGCUCUCAUUUAGUGUCUGGCUGGCCUGCUGUGGCGGCGGCUCUCUCUCUUACACACACACAGUCCAGCAACGCCAAAUAAAACA